AUUGACCGCUGGCGGCCGGCCUAACACAUGCAAGUCGAGAGGAGCGGAGGACGGGUGAGUAAUGCCUAGGAAUCUGCCUGGUAGUGGGGGAUCACGUCCGGAAACGGGCGCUAAUACCGCAUACUAUCAGAUGAGCCUAGGUCGGAUUAGCUAGUGGGUGGGGUAAAGGCCUACCAAGGCGACGAUCCGUAACUGGUCUGAGAGGAUGAUCAGUCACACUGGAACUGAGACACGGUCCAGACUCCUACGGGAGGCAGCAGUGGGGAAUAUUGGACAAUGGGCGAAAGCCUGAUCCAGCCAUGCCGCGUGUGUGAAGAAGGUCGUCGGAUUGUAAAGCACUUUAAGGUGGAAGGCGUUACCACCAGAAUGAGCCCCUGCUAAGUUCGUGGCAGCAGCCGCGGUAAUUC
rnacentral:rRNA from 1 species